rnacentral:rRNA from 1 species
UACAGAGGUCCCAAGCGUUGUUCGGAUUCACUGGGCGUAAAGGGUGCGUAGGCGGUCGGGUAAGUCUGAUGUGAAAUCUCACAGCUUAACUGUGAAACUGCAUUGGAUACUAUCCGGCUCGAGGAAUGGAGGGGAGACUGGAGUACUUGGUGUAGCAGUGAAAUGCGUAGAUAUCAGGUGGAACACCAGUGGCGAAGGCGAGUCUCUGGACAUUUCCUGACGCUGAGGCACGAAAGCCAGGGGAGCAAACGGG